AGGACCUUUCUGCAACAGGCACAGAGGCACACACGUCCCCUGAUUCAUUAACAUGGUAACGAUCUCAGGGUGAGCAUUAAUGGCCACAUCACUGCCAAGCAUCUGGCUGAGGUUAACGGCUUCCACGCGGCAGAGUAAUGAGUGGAAACGUGAGUGUGCCACAUGAAGUGAACACAAAUUCAUUCUUCCUGCAAAAACGGAUGUUUCAGCAAAGCACGUGAGACAAAAAAUGCACUCAUUCCAGAAACUCAGAAACACAAUGGCUGUGCCUCCCCCCCUCCCUCUGUGGUUAACAUGCCCUCAUUCGCCCUCUCCAGACAGAGCCAAUUCCACAGCACCUAACUGAGCUGCUGCCCUCAGUGAGCAUUUGCAAAGGAGAAAUCUCACAGCUGGAUGAGCAGACUUGUGCAAGCUGGGAUAACAUCAGCACAGAAACAAAAACCUCUGAGAAACAGCAGCACCAAC
ensembl:lncRNA